UUUGAUCCUGGCUCAGGAUGAACGCUAGCGGCAGGCCUAAUACAUGCAAGUCGAGGGGCAGCAUGAGUACUUGUACUUGAUGGCGACCGGCGCACGGGUGCGUAACGCGUAUGCAACUUACCCUUUACUGGGGGAUAGCCCGGGGAAACUCGGAUUAAUACUCCAUAGUACUAUAAAGUCACAUGAUUUAAUAGUUAAAGAUUUAUUGGUAAAAGAUGGGCAUGCGUAUCAUUAGUUAGUUGGUAAGGUAACGGCUUACCAAGACUUCGAUGAUUAGGGGGCCUGAGAGGGUGAUCCCCCACACUGGUACUGAGACACGGGCCAGACUCCUACGGGAGGCAGCAGU
rnacentral:rRNA from 1 species